rnacentral:rRNA from 1 species
UUGCUUUCUUUGCUGGCGACCGGCGCACGGGUGAGUAACACGUAUCCAACCUGCCCUUUACUCGGGGAUAGCCUUUCGAAAGAAAGAUUAAUACCCGAUAGCAUAAUGAUUCCGCAUGGUUUCAUUAUUAAAGGAUUCCGGUAAAGGAUGGGGAUGCGUUCCAUUAGGUUGUUGGUGAGGUAACGGCUCACCAAGCCUUCGAUGGAUAGGGGUUCUGAGAGGAAGGUCCCCCACAUUGGAACUGAGACACGGUCCAAACUCCUACGGGAGGCAGCAGUGAGGAAUAUUGGUCAAUGGGCGCCAGCCUGAACCAGCCAAGUAGCGUGAAGGAUGAAGGCUCUAUGGGUCGUAAACUUCUUUUAUAUAAGAAUAAAGUGCAGUAUGUAUACUGUUUUGUAUGUACUAUAUGAAUAAGGAUCGGCUAACUCCGUGCCAGCAGCCGCGGUAAUACGGAGGAUCCGAGCGUUAUCCGGAUUUAUUGGGUUUAAAGGGAGCGUAGGUGGACUGGUAAGUCAGUUGUGAAAGUUUGCGGCUCAACCGUAAAAUUGCAGUUGAUACUGUCAGUCUUGAGUACAGUAGAGGUGGGCGGAAUUCGUGGUGUAGCGGUGAAAUGCUUAGAUAUCACGAAGAACUCCGAUUGCGAAGGCAGCUCACUGGACUGCAGCUGACACUGAUGCUCG